GAUGAACGCUAGCGGCAGGCUUAACACAUGCAAGUCGAGGGGUAUAGUUCUUCGGAGCUAGAGACCGGCGCACGGGUGCGUAACGCGUAUGCAAUCUACCUUUUACAGAGGGAUAGCCCAGAGAAAUUUGGAUUAAUACCUCAUAGUAUGUGAGAAUCGCAUGGUUUUCACAUUAAAAGUUCCACGGUAAAAGAAUGAGCAUGCGUCCCAUUAGCUAGAUGGUAAGGUAACGGCUUACCAUGGCUACGAUGGGUAGGGGUCCUGAGAGGGAGAUCCCCCACACUGGUACUGAGACACGGACCAGACUCCUACGGGAGGCAGCAGUGAGGAAUAUUGGUCAAUGGGCGCAAGCCUGAACCAGCCAUGCCGCGUGCAGGAAGACGGUCCUAUGGAUUGUAAACUGCUUUUAUACAGGAAGAAACCCUACCCACGUGUGGGAGC
rnacentral:rRNA from 1 species